rnacentral:lncRNA from 1 species
AAUCUCAUCAAAAUCCUGCACUACUUUAUAAUUUAAAAUAAAACAAUCUAUUUUUAUAUAUUAUAAUUUUAAUCCCUUAAAUAGAUUAAAUUAUAUUUAUAAGCACUUACCCACUUAUUUUAUUUUUACCCAUAUAUCUUUCACGAAAUUAUCCCGAGACACAAGAUUAACCAGAACUGAGUUUCGAAACUCACUACGUACAAUCAUCGGAGAACUGCGCCUCUGCACACACCGCCAUUAGGCCACCAUGCGCCAUCAUUGGAACCACCAUGAACUGGCCGAAAAUCACCACAGAACAUGCCACACACACAGAUGCGGCACAGAUACGAUGAAAUCAUGUUGAAAACUAUCUCAGAGUCGUGAAAUUGCGACUAGCGUCAUGGGUCUUCUUCUUCUUUAACGCUCACCAUUGCGCACAACGCCCUUGCCUCAUCGCGUCGGGUGCGCGAUUCUACUUAAAACCCUUCGCCCAGAUUUGCUUCCCAAUCUCGCUGUAGAUCCGAUUUCCUUUCGUCGUCGUUGUGCACCAGAAGCAAAACUCGCUGUGGCACCGAUCCUUUCUCCUCGGCCCGCUGCAUGCUACGCAUUAGCCUUCUUCCUCCACCAUGCGUUCUUCUCGUUCUUCUUUUUUCUUCUUAUUCCUCUUUCUUUUUUCUUCUUAUUCUUCUUUCUUUUCUCCAUUUACCGUGCAUGACUCUUCUCCUUCUUCUUCGGCUUCCAAAGGUGUGCACGCCUCUAGUUGUUUAUUUUUAUUUUUAUUAAAACGACGUCGUUUUCAUUUGUCC